CCAUCCUCUCUAGUCUAGUCCCACAGCGAGGAAUAGCUAGUCGGUGGGGCGGCUCGCCGGCCACCUGCAGCAGACGUAGCCAGCCACCAGCCGCGGCCCUCGCGGAUGCAGGCGUCCACGUUGUAGCGCCGGUCGCCCAUCUUGGGCCCCGCAUCACCGCCGGCGAGCGCGUCCGAGUGCCCCGGGUGUCUGCAUCUCCCGCUGACCCUCCUCCUCCGCCCUUUUCUCCAUCUCGGAUGGAUUGCAGCAGCUGCAGGGGCAGCCUCCUCCGAUGGCAGAAGGGGAUGAGGGGGGCGACCUGGACAUCCUCGAGAUCGCCCAGCCCCAACUAGACGGAGGCGCCCUCCAUGACGCCGCCCCGCAAAAGAUUGAUCAGACAUAUUCUUGAGCACCUAUGCGAGAGAGAUUGAACAGGAGACGCUUUGCAUCUUGCCGUGAAGUGGCGACCACAGUGGCGCUCUUGUUGGCGCUGAAGUCGGACAGUGACCAACGUCACCGCAACGCCAUGUGCACUCCUUCUCGGUCCUCCCUGCCCUCGGACCAAGAGCUGAGAGGCAUUUGGUGCGUCGCCGCCCUGAUCUAGCUGAUGAACCAAGGUUGCUAGCUGCUGCUACUACUGCAUGUCUUCGUUUUGUUUGUUCUGUCAUAGUGAGACAGAGAGAGGAGAUGCGCGCCUCACUGGAAGGUGACAACCAUGUACAACACAACUCUUGCCAACGAACAGCGACACCUCCACGCUAUGUUCCCUGUUGCCCUACUCGGCCCUCCCCGCCGCUUGGAUAGAGAGGUUGAUGGCCCGCACCUCCAUCAGCAACUCCUAUGUUUGUUCACUGUUCGUGCCACCUGGAGCAAGGAGUGGGCUGGAGUAGGGUAUGGACGUGGAUGAUGAUCCAGAAGGGGUGGAGGAGAAUGAGCUAGACAAUCUCGAUGAGGAAUUCAUCCAUCCCCAUCUCGAGCUCGAGGGAGAUGUUGAUGAUUGCAUGCAAAAGGAUUUAUCAAACGGGGACAUUCUAUUGUGGAAGGGCCAGUAUGAACACCGGUUGCUAGAAUGCUGCCUCUACUACGAGCUACAAGGCCAGAGAUAGUACCAGCGGGGCCUGCGACCUCCGGGAGCUUCUCUUCAUGUUCUCCGUGAGUGCUAUCUGUUGUUGUGAUUAAGCUCUGAAGGCCCCAAGUUUGCGCUUGUCUGAUGCGAUGAAAUCAUGUGCGAUAUGCUCUCCUUGUAUCUGAGAUUCUCCUACUUUAAUUUAUCACGGCUGCUAGCUACUGAUGCAAAGAGCAAAGCUUGAUAAUGUAGAGAGUUUUGCACCUACAUGCUUGCUCCUGGCUGAACAUCGAUGCCCAGUCUUGUCAUCGAUUGGAGUAGCAGGGCUCGUUGGAGCUAUGGGAUUCAGAAGGAAUGCCAUCUUGAUCAUCUUGUGGGAGAGAUAUUGAGCUGGAGACGAGCCCUGCAGCUUGCCAGCAGUGGCGACCGCAUCGGUGCUCUUGCCUGGCAUCGACGCCGAAUGGCGACCAGCACCGCCACCCUCCUGCCUGAGCCUCCCUGUUGCCCAGACCAAGGGCUGAGAGGCGUGCGACGGACCCGACGCUGCUAUUGUCUUCCUUCAGUCGAUAGUAACUGGCUUUGCAUGCUCAUCUAUGUAGAUAGUAGGCGAUAAGAUCGGAGCUUGGGUACAUGUGUUUGAGGCUCUUCCUCGGUAGUUCGACUUGGCCAACGCGACGGGGUCGACUAGGAAAGAGUUCCAGGGCGGCACCCCUCGUCUUGCCUUCCUCUUUGAGCUUCCCUCUGACUAGCAGGACCUCACUUUCUCCCAGUGGCAAGUAGAACUCGUGGCAUGUCCGGUGCUGCCAGAUAAACUUUCUUUUCUUGUGACUAUUACUAUUGAUUGAUGUGCUGUUUUUCGCUGUGAGCUCAAGAAUUUAUUCCAGGGGGGACUGAUGAGGAUGAGCCUGCUUAGCAUACCGUGCGCACCCUUGGUUGCUCUGUGGGACACAUGUUUCUGCCCUUUCUGAUGUCGGCGGAGAGGCCACUGCCAACAUCUUGUUGCUCGGUUGUGGAUGAGCUCGAGCGCAAAUUAAAUGGCAUCAAAAUUGGUGGAGUGAGUGAAGCAGCAGAUAGCCAAAAGAAGAUGAGGUGCAGUAUAGGUAGUACAGGACCAAGUUUUAUACUGAAAUUCUAUUGUUGGCAAAAAAGUUGAUCUGAUGGUAUACUCGGUAUUGUUGAAUGCUUUAGUGCUGAUAUUUACUGGUUAGCGUGUGCAUGGACUAAAGAAAGUGUCUUGCCAUUCAUUUGAUUUGAUUCAAACAACAAUAUGCAUUCUCCCCAAGUUCCGUUGGAAGAACAUGUUCGAGCCAUCAUCUGAUGCCAGUAGUGUGUCCAUGUUUUUCUUGAGGGACAAGUGAAUGAGCUGUGUAAGCAUGUGCAUGUCUAUGUACACAGAGUCAGCAUGGAGAUUAAUUGUAUUGACUGAAAGCGAAGCAUGUGCUUGUGAUUUAUAAUUGUUAAAUCAAAUUGUGAAAUAGGUUCAUCUUUAUAUUCCUGUUGAUGCAAGAGUUUGUGCUUAAUAUGUUAGACUGAUAGGAUUUUUAGCAUCGUCCAUAAAUAAAUUUUGUUGGUCCAGCAUGACUAUAUAUGUCUAGUGAGAUUUCUAUUCAAGAAUUAUCAAUGGUAUGUCCGUCUGGGUGAUGCUUCUCUGGUAAGUAUAUAUAUAUAUGCAUAUAUUAGCGAAGCUUGUGCAUGUUUCUUAUUCAUUUUACAAUGGUGGUUUCAAAUAUCUGAAUACAUUCGUCUUUACAUUCUUGUUGAUGAAAGAUGUACUAAGUCUGGUAGACUGAUAUGCCAUUCAUAUGUGCAAUUGUUGGCUUUUGAGGAUUUUUCACAUAUGCUCAUUAGUUUUCUUCUUCAGCCAGAGUGUUUUUCAAACUCGAUACUCAUGGAGGUGUAGCUUCUUACUGAUUCACCAACUAUGAAAUGCAAGCCUGAUGGUGGUGGGCGCACAGCAACACAACCAUGGUGGCGGUGGUGUUCUUCUGCUACAACCGAACAGUACAUGCUCCUUCCAUCUUGCAACCCCCUCCGUGGUGCUCUGAAUCAUGGCCCUCAUGGCCUGGUGGUGUGUGUGAGUUCGUGUGCGUCUUGUGUUGAUGUUGAUGAGGACAACAUGUUUGAAUACCCCUUGAACAUGAGGUCUGGGUCUUGAGUUGGUCCGCAAAAGCACUCCAUAGGCCAUCAUUAUGUUCGUGUCGAGGAAUAUGUAGCAGUUUCCACUCAGAAGACUCCAUGUGCACAACAAGAUGCUUUACUUCUGCUAGGAACGCCAAGGGGAACAAUGGUUCUAAACCUAGUACAAACACUACCGUGAAGGUAAAGAAGAAAAGAGCUAAGACCUGAAGUAACUAGUUUGUUCUUGUGCUCGUCCUUGCUAGCUCACUACAUCGACCAGGCCUGUUGCUGCUCUGACCUGUAGGAGAACUAAUGCUCCAACUACGUCCCCGUGUCCAAAAGUCACAUUGUUGUUCCAGUGGUGGUGUGGUGGCGUUGGUGCCCUCCGAUGGUGUUCUGGUGGUGGUGCCCUCUGUGUGUUCCGGUGGUGGUGCCCUAUGGUGGUUGUCCACCAGAGCUGCUAGCGGCAACCACGUGAGCUCCUACUAGUGCUGCUGGCGUCCAGUACAACCUGCUGCCCUUGCCUUCUUCGACCUGGAGCUGACGUCCCCGUGCCCGAAAGUCAAGUUGUUGUUUUGGUGGUGGUGUGGUGGCGCUGGCGCCCUCCGUUGGUGUUCUGGUGGCGGUGCCCUCCGUUGGUAUUCUGGUGGUGGUGUCCUCUGGUGGUGUUGUUCACCGGAGCUGCUGCCGGCAACCACGGGAACUCCUGCUGCCGCUGGUGCUGCUGGCAGUCUAGUACGACCUGCUGCCCCUGCCUUCUUCGACCUGGACGUCUCCUACAUCACAAUGUCCCCCCUCUGAAGCCCUAGUGGUGGAAGUUCAUCCAGGCGGCAACAUUUCAUAAAGAAGGUUCUUGUAAAGAAGUAUUCAUUGGAGCACUACACGGCCCGUCCUCGUGUGGCUCCGCAGACAUGGUCUAUUGCCAACUGGCUCGGGCGGUGCGGCUUGCCUCCGGUCCGUUAUGCCUUGACCCGGCGGCGUAUGCAGUACUGUUCCAUUUGUUGUAAUACUAAGUAGUCGAAUUGUGUCUUCCAAAUCAGUAGGUGUAGUUCUUUACCUGUGUAUUUCUUUAUUCUCUACUUGCACUUGUCAUCUUUACUACAUUCAUAUACUCCAUGUAUCCUUAAAUACCUAUGCGUUAUGCAUAGUACUAGUAGUUCAUUGUUUGCGAAGUGAUGUGGAUGUCCAAAAUAGAGUUAAGGUCAAUU